UGGCCAAAUCACACUGAAACACUGUUCCUAUACAAUCACUAAAGUUAAGCAUCAUUGAGCCUGGUCAGUACCAAGAUGGGUGACUACUUGGAAAUACCAGAUGCUGUAAG